AUGCAUGGCGGCUGGGUCGUCUCGCUCUCGUUCACGCCGGGCUCCAUCGGGGUCGCGAACCUCUUCUCUGGCGCCCAGGCGAUGCUUGCCAAGAAACAGGCGAUGAUAGUCUGUGAGGGCAAGGGCCAUGGCCGCAACGUCGUCGCCUUGAAAAUUGUGUUCUCCGAGCCACCAACCUCAAACGGCUGUAUCCUAGCCGCCAUGACGGUUAGUUGUGGUGUCGUGCUCUGUAGACUCGGUUGCACGGACUGUGGGUGGACGGUACAAGGAUGCCCUAGGCUAGAGCUUGCAGACAUCACCUUCAGCAAUGGCGAGCUCUAUGGCCUACGCUAUGAAGGGACACUCGUCAAGUUUGACAUUGGCGCAAAUGAGGAUGGUGCGCCAAUGAUCAUUGCGGAACAUCGGCUAAACCAUGCAAAGGAUCGACCACACCAUUCAUGGGGCUACCUCAUGGAUUCUUCCAAUUACAUCUUCGAUCUACAGGGCAAGCUUGCGAUGGCAUCCAUUCACUCGUGGUUGCCAAACCUUGAGCUCAUUGACAUCUAUACCGGUGGAUCGGAUGCACGUUACAAGCUCAAGUGGGUGGAGGUGACAAACUUGGGUGAGCAUGCCUUGUUUUUAGGGAAGAUAUUCUCUAAGGCGGUUCAUGUGCCGGCAAACACGCACGGAGGGGUGGAUAGAAACUGCAUCUACUACUCACGCCGUUGUCGUUUAGGUCCAAAGGAUGUUGUCCCUUGUGACAAGGUUCCUAAUCCAGAUGUCCAGGGCCGGUGGCAGAUCCUCGAGGCUUGUAUGUCAAAGGUCGAAGCCAAGGGUAUGGAUCUGAUGAUCCUUGCGAGGGGGACACCAGGACUUUCAGGUGCAGACCUUACAAACUUGGUGAAUUUUGCUGCUGUGAAGGCUGCCAAAGAUGGGGCAGAAGCUGUUACGAUGGAUCAUGUUGAAUACGCCAAGGAGAAGAUCAUGAUGGGCAGCGAGCGUAAAGCGGCAGUGAUACCUGAUAGCUGCAGGAAGAUGAGUGCAUACCACGUGGGAGGGCGGGCCCUUGUUGCUAUCCACACAGAUGAUGCUCGCCCUAUCUACAAGGCUAGCAUUGUCCCGAGGGGGAACACACUCGGCAUGGUGACCCAGCUGCCAGAGGAAGAAGACGCAUAUAAACUCUCAAGGAAGAAGAUGCUGGCGAAAUUGGACAUCCUCAUGGGAGGCAGGGUGGCUGAGGAGCUUAUAUUCGGCGAGAGUGAGGUGACCUCCGGCGCCCAGUCUGAUCUAAGUGAGGCGACUCAGUUGGCGACAGACAUGGUCACCAAGUACGGUAUGAGCCAGCGGGUUGGCCUUGUGUCCUACAGCAGUGACCGUGGGAUCAAGAUGGCGACCUGGAGCGGGCAUACGGCUGCAAGGCGUCUUGCAACGCGUGGAACAGCAAAUGUGAUCUACAGCAAGGCAGCGACAGCUUCUGUUCCUUCUUUCAGUCUACAUGCUGCAAAAACGACUGCUCCAGGCAGUGUGCUUUCUAGACGGUUUAACAGCAAUGGUCCAGAAAGAGUCAUACAAAACUUCGAAAUGAAUAAUCCACCCCUAUCUCCAACUCUCUCUGAGUACGUAAAAGCCCUCGUCAGUGUUGAAUUGCAAGCUCAAGGAGUAACUGCUAAUUUAGCCACAGAUUCAAGCAUGAAUGCUGGUGAUGUAAACAAGGUUUACCGAUCCAAAAAAGAUGUCAAGAGGGCUGAUGAAGAGUAUGAUCGCGAUGCUUCUGAAGAUGAAGACUGGGACGACGAUGACUUGGAAGGUUGGAACAUGGAAGAUUGGGAAGGAUAUGAAGAUUGGGAUGCUCUGAAAGAUGUGUCCAUGAAUUCAAAGACGAAAUUCUGUGAUGUUAAGGGAGUUGACGAAGCCAAAGCUGAGCUUGAAGAUAUAGUUCACUACCUAAGAGAUCCCAAGCAUUUCACGUGCCUUGGUGGCAAGCUUCCCAAAGGUGUUCUGCUUGUUGGCCCACCGGGCACAGGGAAGACCAUGUUGGCAAGGGCCGUGGCUGGGGAAGCCGGCGUCCCAUUCUUCGCGUGCAGCGGCAGCGACUUCGAGGAGGAAUAUGUGGGUGUUGGAGCUAGAAGAGUGAGGGAGCUCUUCAGUACAGCAAAGGAGCAAUCUCCUUGCAUAAUAUUCAUCGACGAAAUCGACGCCAUUGCUGGUCGCAGAAACCCAAAAGAUGCAACAUGGGCGAGGCAAACCUUGAACCAGCUGCUAUCUGAGAUGGAUGGCUUCAAGCAGAAUGAUGGGAUCAUCGUGAUUGCGGCGACCAACUUCCCCCAGUCGCUAGAUAAAGCCGCUGUUAGACCUGGGCGAUUUGACCGUCAUGUUCAGGUUCCUAAUCCAGAUGUUGAGGGUCGGCGGCAGAUCCUCGAGGCUUGUAUGUCAAAGAUCAAAGCCAAGGGUGUGGAUCUAAUGGUCCUUGCUAGGGGGACACCGGGAUUUUCAGGUGCAGACCUUACAAACUUGUUGAACGUUGCUGCUCUGCAGGCUGCCAAGGAUGGGGCAGAAGCUGUUACGAUGGAUCACGUGGAAUACGCUAAGGACAAGAUAAUGAUGGGCAACGAGCGCAAAUCCUCAAUGAUACCUGAUAACUGCAGGAAGAUGAUUGCGUACCACGAGGGAGGGAGGGCACUUGUUGCUAUCCACACAGAUGGUGCUCGCCCUAUCUACAAGGCUACCAUUGUUCCGAGGGGAAACACUCUUGGCAUGGUGACCCAGCUGCCAGAGGAAGAAGACGUAUAUAAAGUCUCGAGGAAGAAGACGCUAGCGAAAUUGGAUAUCCUCAUGGGAGGCAGGGUGGCCGAGGAACUUAUAUUUGAGGCGGGCGAGGUGACCUCUGCCACCUUUUCUGAUGUAAACGAGGCAACUCAGCUGGCGACAGACAUGGUCAUCAAAUACGGUAUGAGUGAGCGGGUCGGCCUUGCCCUUGUUUCCUAUGGCAACGACGAUGAUGGUCGUGGUGGGAAGAUGUCGGCCUUGAGCGGCCAUAUGAUAGCCGCAGUGGAGGGGGAGGUGCAGGAAUUACUGGACAAGGCUUACGAGAACGCGAAAAUGAUUCUCACUGCACACAGUAAGGAGCUUCAUGUGCUAGCUGAUGCCCUCCUUGAGCAUGGAACUCUCACUGGCCACCAGAUCAAAGCCCUCCUUGAGCACGGAACUUUCACUGGCCACCAGAUGAAGCACAUAGCAUCGCCAAGUAAAAAUAAAUGGUUUUAA
rnacentral:rRNA from 1 species